rnacentral:rRNA from 1 species
GACGAACGCUGGCGGCGUGCUUAACACAUGCAAGUCGAACGGAAAGGCCCUGCUUUUGUGGGGUGCUCGAGUGGCGAACGGGUGAGUAACACGUGAGUAACCUGCCCUUGACUUUGGGAUAACUUCAGGAAACUGGGGCUAAUACCGGAUAGGAGCUCCUGCUGCAUGGUGGGGGUUGGAAAGUUUCGGCGGUUGGGGAUGGACUCGCGGCUUAUCAGCUUGUUGGUGGGGUAGUGGCUUACCAAGGCUUUGACUGGUAGCCGGCCUGAGAGGGUGACCGGCCACAUUGGGACUGAGAUACGGCCCAGACUCCUACGGGAGGCAGCAGUGGGGAAUAUUGCACAGUGGGCGGAAGCCUGAUGCAGCAACGCCGCGUGCGGGAUGACGGCCUUCGGGUUGUAAACCGCUUUCGCCUGUGACGAAGCGUGAGUGACGGUAAUGGGUAAAGAAGCACCGGCUAACUACGUG